GACGAACCGUGCAAACGUUGUUCGGAUUCACUGGGCUUAAAGGGCGCGUAGGCGGGUGGUCAAGUCAGGGGUGAAAUCCUCCAGCUCAACUGGAGAACAGCUUUUGAUACUGGCCAUCUUGAGGGAGGUAGGGGCAUGUGGAACUUCCGGUGGAGCGGUGAAAUGCGUAGAUAUCGGAAGGAACGCCGGUGGCGAAAGCGACGUGCUGGACCUUUUCUGACGCUGAGGCGCGAAAGCUAGGGGAGCAAACGGG
rnacentral:rRNA from 1 species